rnacentral:rRNA from 1 species
UACAGAGACCUCAAGCGUUAUCCGGAAUCAUUGGGCGUAAAGCGUACCGAUAGGUGGUUAUAUAAGUCAGAGGUGAAAUCUCCGAGCUCAACUCGGAAUCUGUCCUUUGAAACUAUAUGACUAGAGGGGCAAAGAGGAAGCUGGAACGAACGGUGUAGUAGUAAAAUGCGUUGAUAUCGUUCGGAACACCGAUAGCGAAGGCAGGCUUCUGGGUGCCACCUGACACUGCUAGGACGAAAGCGUGGGUAGCGAAUGGG